GAAAGACGUGUCUAGGGUACCACAGAUAUCAGUGUGUUGUGUUUACUACUGUGCCCAUGCUUCCAUCUUGAUGACAAGGAGGACGACUCCUUCAUCAUUCCCACUACAGAAUACACAAUGGUUCACAUCUUGAAACUGUUUCAGUGUUAUUAACCUGGAUUCCAUUUGGAUGAAAUGAAGCCAGAAGGGCAUGAUUGCAAAUGUUCACUUUGGUUCCAGAAGCAGCUCAAUAAAAGAAAGAAAAGUUUUAGAAUUUCUUCCAGAAGACGUCAAUGAGAAAAAAAGAACCUAAAAGAAACCUACUUAAUGUUUUAUGACAGAAAUCUAGAAUCAAAUUGAAUUAAGGACAGCAUAGAUGCUGAAACUACUGAAGAAUGCUGCAGUUAUCUCAUCGAGUGAUGUUCAUCAUUGGAGCCUGUUGAAAUACUUCCGCAUGAGGAAGGAAUGAUGCAUAUAAGGAAAUCUUGAAGAGAAGACUUCACAUAUUUCCCGACUAAUCUCUGAUGAGACAGCUUUCUUCCAUUCUUAAAGGAGGAAGAAAGGGAGAAUCAGCAAGUAAAACAAAACAAGAAAAUGAUAUUCAUUCCACAUAACAUAUUUAAUUUGAUCGACAAUCUUUAGCCUGUCAUUGACCAAGAACACCCAAG
rnacentral:lncRNA from 1 species